rnacentral:misc_RNA from 1 species
ACAAAAGCUUUGAUGAGGUGACGCUGCCCAAGGAGAUUGCCGAGAAGUUCAAGCCGUCGCCGCAGGCUUUUCCCAAUGCGACGGACCGUCGGCGAUGGCUCGACUUCAUCACGUGGUAUCACCAGGCGAUCAUCGAUUUCGCGGACAAGUCAAUCACGGUUGUGCUCAAGUACUUCCCGAAAGAGAAGGUCAGGACCAAGCCGGGCGGAAAUGCCGGCGGGGUGAAUCCGAUUGCCUGGGGAACGUAUUGUCCCGGUUAUGCGAAGAUGGCAAAAACGCACGGCAUCGUGCUUCAGCCGGCCGAUUGCCAGGGAGCAUAUUUCGGGGACAAGUGGGUGGGGACC